ensembl:lncRNA
AGCCUCGGAGUGAACGACACAACCGCGCGGUGCACGCCGCGCUUCAACCGCCCUCUCCGCACUCACCAACACAUCAAUGAGCAGGCGCGCUCACGCGCCUCCGUUACACACACCUGCUGGCGGGAACGGGAGCCAGGACCGCGUCUGUUCUCCUCCACCGGCGAACCGACGACCAGCAGAGGAGGGAGCACCGAGGAUAACCCUACGCUACAAUUCCUCCAUCUCCAUCAGUGGACUCAAACUGAGAGGGGAAAGCCAGCGAGUGCAAAUCACAGUCGGCCUUUCCCCUGCCCAUCUAAAAAGGGGGAGGCGGUGCCACCACCUGUAUCCAGCCUCCGCUGCAGGAGCUUGGAGAGACUGCUCACAGUAUUGCGGAUAAGUGAAACCCCACAGGAGCAUCAUUGAAAUGGUCCUCCUUGAAGACAGACACCCUGGCAUGGAACAGCAUCGGACAGGGGGACACUGGUACCCGGCGGGGGGUGCUGUGGAGAUGG